UGGAUGCCUAUGGUUUGCGACGGGAAACCUACUUGGAGAAACGUUACGACGGGACAGUGCACAAAAGAAGAAGAGAAGGCUUUGGACGCUUUAAUGACAAAACUAGACGGAAUGGAAAGUAAGCUCCAUCAGUUGAAAAAGACGAUGGAAGAAUCAGAGACAAACUCACUGACGCCUUCUGUUGUAGGUGUCAAAAAUAC